AUGAGCGGCGCUCCCGGCGGGCCCCGGCCGAGGACCCCGCCGAGCCGCGGAGCCGCGGCCGCCCCGUCGCCCCGGCCGCCCCCCGCCGACCCGCUGCGCCAGGCCAGCCGGCUGCCCAUCCGCGUCCUGAAGAUGCUCAGCGCCCACGGCGGCCACCUCCUGCACCCCGAGUACCUCCAGCCGCUCUCCUCCACGCCCGUCAGCCCCAUCGAGCUGGACGCCAAGAAGAGCCCGCUGGCGCUGCUGGCCCAGACCUGCUCGCAGAUCGGCAAGCCCGACCCGCCGCCCUCCUCCAAGCUCAACGCCGUGGCGGCCGCCGCGCCCGCCGCCGACAAGGAGCCCUCGGCCCGGCCCGCCGCGCUGAAGCCGCCGGGCAGCGGGGACGCGCCCGCCGAGGACAAGUCGAGCUUCAAGCCCUACUCGAAAGGCGGCGGGGAGCCCCGCAAGGAGGGCGGCGCGGACAAGGCCGGCUUUCGGGUGCCCAGCGCAGCGUGCCCGCCGUUCCCCCCGCACGCCGCCGCCUCCUCGCCCGGCGGCUCCCGCGGGGCUUCGCCGCAGCACCCCGAGCCCAAGGGCGCCGAGGAGAAGAAGGAGCCCGAAGGCGGCAAGCCUAGCCCCGAGGGGACGGGCGGGGCGCUGGGGCGCGGGGUGGUGGAGGCCGGGGCGCACGGCGAGCCCCCCUCGGGCCGCAAGUCGGAGCCCCCCGCGCUGCCGCCCGCCGGCCAUGUGGCCCCCGUGUCGCCCUACAAGCCGGGCCACUCCGUGUUCCCCCUGCCGCCCUCCAGCAUCGGCUACCACGGCUCCAUCGUGGGCGCCUACGCCGGCUACCCGUCCCAGUUCGUGCCCGGGCUGGACCCCACCAAGCCGGCGCUGGUGGGCAGCCAGCUGCCGGGGGCGCUGGGGCUGCCGGGCAAACCGCCCAGCUCCAGCCCGCUCACCGGGGCCUCGCCGCCCUCCUUUAUGCAGGGAUUAUGCCGGGACCCGUACUGCCUGAGCUACCACAGCGCCUCGCACCUGGGCUCCAGCAACUGCUCCAGCUGCGUGCACGACCCCGGCAGCCUCAAGAGCGGAUACCCCUUGGUGUACCCCACGCACCCCCUGCACUCGGUGCACACCACGCUCUCCUCCAGCGGCACCCCCAGCCUGCCCGGCCACCCCCUGUACACCUACGGCUUCAUGCUGCAGAACGACCCCCUGCCCCACAUAUGCAACUGGGUGUCUGCCAGCGGACCCUGCGACAAGAGGUUUGCCACCUCGGAGGAGCUGCUCACCCACCUACGGACCCACACGGCCCUGCCGGGGGCCGAGAAACUCUUGGCGGGUUACCCUACCUCCGGGCUGGGCUCCGCGGCCUCCUGCCACCUGCACCUCCCGCCCGCCGCCCCCGGGAGCCCCAACACCUUACCGGCCUCGCUCUCCUUGAGGAGCCCACACACUUUGGGACUAAACAGGUACCACCCCUAUGGCAAGAGCCACUUGCCCACGGCCGGCGCCCUGCCCGUGCCCUCCUUGCCGGCUGCAGGACCUUACUACUCCCCAUACGCUCUCUACGGCCAAAGACUCACGUCAGCCUCGGCUUUGGGAUAUCAGUAACCGGCUCAGCCCCAGCCCCCCGCGCCCUCCUUGGACUCUGUAUUUAUUACUGUAUGUUAGCUUAAAGCUGGGAAUAUAAGUGCAUUAUACACCAAUGAAUCAAUGGUAUGCAAAAAAAAAAAAAAGUCUGUGUUCCAAAAAAAAAAAAUUAACCCGAAAAAAAGAAAAAAAAAAAUUUCCCCUUCUUUACUUUGCAGGUGUGGGGCUUUGAUUUUCCCCUUCUGUUUCUGUUGAAUUUUUUUUUUUUCCUUACCCUUCUUAAUUUCCCCCGAGAAAUUCUUGCAUGACAUGGAAAAGCAAAAAAAAAAAAACAAAAAAAAAGGCAUUUUCCUCCUUCCCCUCUGCGUUUAUCGCUCUGGGAUUCUCUUCUCUGCAUUUGUAACUUGCAGAUGUAAUUUUUUUUCUUGUAAUUUUUUCCUUAUUUUUAAUCUUUGGGGUUUUCAAAUUUUUUUUUCCUUUUAAAAUUUUUGUGGUUUAUUUUUUUUUUUUUAAUUUUACUCCUUCUUUUUGGUUUUUUUUUUUUUUUAAUUUUUGCGCUGUGUCCGGGGCCAGGGAGGGCUACACCGGUUGGGUGAUGCUCACCCCAGGCCGUGCCCCGCCGGGGGCUGCAGGACCCCGCGUGUCCCCGCUGUGUCGGUGGGGGGACCGGAGGAGCGGCAGGACCGGCGGCCCCGGGCGGGCGGACGAGCCCCGGUGAUGCAGAGGUGGCUGCCCGCAGACGUACAAGGCGUUUCAGAGCGCGGAGCGGAGCGCGGCGUCCUCGAGGGCUGGAGCCUGCCCAGGGGUCAGGUCGGGAUGCAGAGCCAUGGUGGGUGGAUGAGAAGUUCCUCAGCUGCAUAAAGCAGCUUUUCUUUCCACGUGAGCACUGGAGGAAGCCACGGAGAACACGGGCUCUGUUUGUCCUCCAAGCCAGAGUGGCACGGACACCUCCUGUCCCUCCACCAGCAUCCUCGUGCCCAGCCUGGGUUCAGGGUUUGCUUUGGGGCACACUUGGUGCUGGAUGAGCUGAGAGCAGACCUGGAGGGACAAAGCCGUGCUUGGAGGUGGCAGCGGAGGUCCUGUGCCAGGCUGGGAGCUGGAGCCAUGCAGGAGGAGCAGCUGAGUGGUGACACAGCGGUGACACGGAGCAGCCGGGACAGCACCACGGUGUGGAGCUGUGUGUGCCCACCAGAGCUCCGCACUGCCCUGCUGUGGGGCCACCUCCAGCCACUCCAAGCAGUGGGGCAGCACAAGUGACAAGAGGCUGGAUGAGGUGAGUGGAGAAGAAUGAAGUCCUCAAGGCGCCAAAGCCAGAAGAGUGUGGGCAAGCACCCAGGGCACUGCAGUGGCCAGGAAUGCCACAGAUGGGAAUGGACUUUUCCUCUGGCUCUGGAUAAUGGCUGAAGAGCUGCCGCUGCCUCUGCUCUGGCCAUGGAUUGGUGUGUGCUGCAAAUCCUCUAGCAGCUCUGAUUCCAGCUUCAGCAGUGAUUCACUGAUGUGUUCCACACCACACCAGGACACCCGGCCUUGGCUGGUCACCAGUGACCCACGGGAAGUCCCCAGUGUGACCACAGCCAUGGUUUCCCUCUUGUGCAGUGUGACAGUCCAGCACAGGGCCCUGGCAGGUGACAAAGCCCUGGGACCACGGCCGUUUCCUCGCACAGGUUGACACAGGAGUGUGAC